ACGCUGGCUACAGGCUUAACAUAUGCAAGUCGAGGGGAAACGACGGGGAAGCUUGCUUCCUUGGGCGUCGACCGGCGCACGGGUGAGUAACGCGUAUCCAACCUGCCUCUGACUGAGGGAUAACCCGUCGAAAGCCGGCCUAAUACCUCAUGGUAUCGUCUGCAGGCAUCCAAUGACGAUUAAAGAUUUCAUCGGUCAGGGAUGGGGAUGCGUCUGAUUAGCUUGUUGGCGGGGUAACGGCCCACCAAGGCGACGAUCAGUAGGGGUUCUGAGAGGAAGGUCCCCCACAUUGGAACUGAGACACGGUCCAAACUCCUACGGGAGGCAGCAGUGAGGAAUAUUGGUCAAUGGGCGAGAGCCUGAACCAGCCAAGUAGCGUGCAGGAUGACGGCCCUAUGGGUUGUAAACUGCUUUUAUGCGGGGAUAAAGUGAGGGACGUGUCCUUCAUUGCAGGUACCGCAUGAAUAAGGACCGGCUAAUUCCGUGCCAGCAGCCGCGGUAAUACGGAAGGUCCGGGCGUUAUCCGGAUUUAUUGGGUUUAAAGGGAGCGUAGGCCGUGGAUUAAGCGUGUUGUGAAAUGCAGGUGCUCAACGUCUGCACUGCAGCGCGAACUGGUCCACUAGAGUGUGCACAACGCAGGCGGAAUUCGUCGUGUAGCGGUGAAAUGCUUAGAUAUGACGAAGAACUCCGAUUGCGAAGGCAGCUUGCGGGAGCACAACUGACGCUGAAGCUCGAAAGUGCGGGUAUCGAACAGGAUUAGAUACCCUGGUAGUCCGCACGGUAAACGAUGGAUGCCCGUUGUCAGGCUGUUUCAGCCUGGUGACCAAGCGAAAGCAUUAAGCAUCCCACCUGGGGAGUACGCCGGCAACGGUGAAACUCAAGGAAUUGACGGGGGCCCGCACAAGCGGAG
rnacentral:rRNA from 1 species